rnacentral:rRNA from 1 species
UAUCUCUGUAGAGUCUGCAUAUCAAUAAGCGGAGGAAAAGAAACUAACUAGGAUUCCCUCAGUAACGGCGAGUGAAGCGGGAAGAGCUCAAAUUUGAAAUCUUCAAGGUUUUACCUUGACGAAUUGUAGUUUAAAGAAGUGUUUUCUGUUGGAGUUUUGGUAAAAGUUCUUUGGAAUAGGACAUCAUAGAGGGUGAGAAUCCCGUAUUUGACCAUUACUUCCAGCUUUGUGAUACACUUUCAAAGAGUCGGAUUGUUUGGGAAUGCAGUCCAAAAUGGGUGGUAAAUUUCAUCUAAAGCUAAAUAUUGGCGAGAGACCGAUAGCGAACAAGUACCGUGAGGGAAAGAUGAAAAGAACUUUGAAAAGAGAGUUAAACAGUACGUGAAAUUGUCAAAAGGGAAGCGUUUGACACCAGUGUUGUUUUCUCGAAAAUCAAUUAAAAAUGGCGGGAUUUUGUGUUGUAUUGACUUUAUCAGCUUUCUGCACUUUUUUCCUGUCUUUUUUAAUGCACUUUUCGUUUAACAAGUCAACAUCAAUUUCUUUUGUUGUAAAAGAGUCAUUGGAAGGUGGCUUUCUUUUCGGAGAAAGUGUUUAUAGCCUUUGGCUUCUGCAAUCGGAGAGAUUGAGGUCUGCAGCGUAGAUCCUUCGGGGUUAGAUACAUUUGUGCUAAGUUAUAGCCUUUCAUAGACAACUUGUUGACUAUGAUCAGUCAUGUAGCUUACUCGCUUAUGCUAUUUUACCUACGCUUAGGAUGUUGAGUCAUCACACAUCUCU